rnacentral:rRNA from 1 species
UACGUAGGGGGCAAGCGUUGUCCGGAAUCAUUGGGCGUAAAGCGCGUGUAGGCGGCCAGAAAAGUUCCGCUGUGAAAACUCGAGGCUACAACCGUUCGAGCUGGUCGGUGGAAACUUUCUGGCUAGAGUCCGGAAGAGGAGAAUGGAAUUCCUGGGUGUGAGCGGUGAAAUGCGCAGAUAUCAGGAAGAACACCAAUGGCGAAGGCAGCGUCUCUGGGACGGUACUGACGCUGAGACGCGAAAGCGUGGGGAGCGAACAGG